GCCGCCUUAGCUCAGUUGGAAGAGCAGCUCACUUGUAAUGAGCAGGUCCCCAGUUCGACUCUGGGAGGCGGCU
rnacentral:tRNA from 1 species